ACUGAGCUUUUACUAUUGGAGUUGCCCAUCCAUGCUGCUGUACUGUCUUUGUUAAAAGAUGAUGUUAACCAACAUCUAGGACCUCUACAACAGUCCACAAGGAAGAUUGGCUCACAAGACGGGCUCACAGGUCCCUGCUCCAGGCUACAGCAGCCAGUGGAAGCACAACACCAGUAUCACAAAGGCAAGCCCUUGGAAUGAGAUGAAGGAGUCAAAAUGACUGCUUUGCUUCUGCUGUAUGUGUCUUGGAAAUGGAUUUUUCUAUGAAGUCUGUGGAAGCUUGUUACCAUGUUAAAUGCCCAGCUUUCAUUAAAUCUACACCUGAAGGAAACAUGGAAGAGGUCUUUUCCAACUGCUGUAUGAAAUCUCUAACAGCUCAGGUGUAUGUGUUUACUAUGAAUUGAACUCAAAGCUCUUAAGUAAUGCUGUGUGUUUAGCCUGUUUACUCCCCAAAGUAGCUGGAGAAUUAUCUGUGCAUUUUCCACAUUGUUUUCAGUGUGCUGCUUUGUUUGAUGGUGGUUUAUUAAUGAUACUUGUGAUUUAUUACUGUCACUUUAUUAGAUUAUUUGCAAAUCGGUGACAAAGCACUAUGUGGAUCAUGCCUUGUUAGUCAUAAAAGCACUCAAGAAGCCAUGAAAAUCAGUUAAGCUUGAACCUAUUGAAUGAAGGAGCAUAGUGCUCUCUAUUGAUCAGGAGCCUUUAGAUAUGUAAUGAAUAGUAGUACCUUUGUAGCACUGUCAGAUAGUGUUUUCCUUUGGAUCUGAUAAAUUACACCCUUUUGUACCAGUGGCUUGAGAUUUGGCAUAAAACAUUCUUGUAUUAGUAUUUCUUUCAGCUCCAGUACUGGGGUGAUCUUACGUGACCGAGGCAGAUAAAUGUUAGAAGAAAAAUUGAUAUUUGCUCUCCCAACAUAGUGUUGACCAUUGAAUUAACACUGAUCUGACUUUCCUAUGUGUGCAGGAGACUGAGGGCUUGAUUACAAAUGAUUAGCAGAACAUUUUUACAGCCUGUGUGCAUGAUGCAUACAGUCUCUCUCAUAUGACUAUACAUAUGCAUGUUUGGAUUGUAGCUAAUUUCUUUAUAAAUACAGAUUUAUUUAUUAACUUCUUAUUGAAUGGGCAAAUAUAUAAGAUUAAUUUUGCUUUUUUUGUUGGUUUGAAAUGUACUGUGCUUCUAUUUACAAUAUCAGUACUUGAUUUCCUCCUUUCUUUGCAGCUUGUACAGUCUUUUACACAAAACCAGAGUUGGAUUGUAGGUAAAAUAUUACUAUUUUAAUUGGAUGAAGUUAAAGGCAUAGUUUGUGGUGCAGCAGGCCCCAAGUCUUAUCCCUAUAAUAGGGAAGGAUAUCCCUAUUAAUACUAAUAGCCAGAUGCUUUGGAGGUGUUCACUAGGAUAUCACUCUGGAUUAGGGUCACUUUCUCCUUCCAUCCACUCCUCUCCCUUGUAAGAAAAAUAGAAGAAUGAGCCCAGUAGCCUAUUUUAUUGACAGAACUAUAGACAAUAAUUUUUCAGCAGCUUUUUAAUUUUUGCUUUUUUUUUCCUAGAUGUUUUCUAGUGCUCCCUCAGCUUCCUUCAGUGUUUGCUCAGGUUAUCAGUGUUUCAAUUAAUUCCUCUCAAAUGAGCCUGAUUUAGGCAAUAGUAGCCAAAACCUCAGGGGACUCCUUGGCAGCACAAAAGAACAGUGACAGUUGCUUGAACAUCAGCAGUGCCUUGGUGUGUAAAAUAAGGAAAAGGUUCCAUUGAACUCAAUAUAAGAUUUCUUAGCUGUGUUUGCAGCUACAGGCAAAAUGCAGUCACACUUCCAUCUAACAAUCAAAGAAGAAGUAGUGUUUGGUAAAACCUUUGUCCCAGUGUUUUUCACCUUUCAUGCACGAAAAGAUUCCAUUUCCUAUUCCUCCUAAAGACAACAGCUAUGGAAGCUGAGAACUGAAUUUAAAAAAUACAAAUGUCAGUAGAAAUACAGUUUUCUCUGACUGGAAAGGCUUGGGUACAAGGAAAAGGAAGCUUCUAUGGAUCUUUACCUAAUGAUACUAUUUUUCAGUCUCUCUGGAACGUGUGUUUUGUGACUGACUGGAGACUCCAGUUGUAACAGUUCUCUUCCAGCCAAACACCUCAGUGGGUUAACCAGCAGUGUCAAUUUUGGCACACAAAUAAAAACUGUUUG